UACAGAGGUCCCAAGCGUUGUUCGGAUUCACUGGGCGUAAAGGGUGCGUAGGUGGUGAGGUAAGUCGGAUGUGAAAGCUCGGAGCUCAACUCCGAAAUGGCAUUGGAAACUACCUUGCUCGAGGGUUGGAGGGGGGACUGGAAUGCUUGGUGUAGCAGUGAAAUGCGUAGAUAUCAAGCGGAACACCAGUGGCGAAGGCGAGUCCCUGGACAACUCCUGACACUGAGGCACGAAGGCCAGGGGAGCAAACGGG
rnacentral:rRNA from 1 species